ensembl:lncRNA
AUUUUUCAACAUAGUUGCAGCCAUGAGCUAAGCAUUUUUGCCAGCAAUGAAAAGAGCCUACAUGCCACGCUCAUCAAAACCUGCAGCAGCAGGGGUGACCCACUGUCACCAGGGGUGCCAGUUCUUUCCUGACCAGCCACAGCUACACCAGCUGCCUGCAGCCUGUCUUGAUGCAUGGGGCGAUUUCAGCUCAAGUGCAAGACUUGCAUUUCCCUUUGGCAAACACUGUACCUAAGGAUGGCUGGUCUUUGUUCCUGUUCAGCUAUCCAAGGCUUUCAGCUCUCAGAUUUCCUGACAAAUUGUCCUGACCUUACUUGGCUCAUGAAUCCAUGCAAACAGAUCUACAAAGAAAGUAAGCAGAUGCCACACCCCUUCCUUUAUUCAUUAUUUUGGGUGAGCCAGACUUAAAAGAUGCAGGAGCAUAUGCAGGUUUCUCAGGGCUGCUGGAGCCAAGCAGAGAAGAUGCCAGUCAUCCUCAUGGGAGUGAGGGCACGGAGUGCUCUGUCCCCUCACAGCUCCUGCCUGGGACCAAGCUGAUGUGAUCAUCCUCACCACAGACUGAACAUACUCCAUCCAGAGACAAAGAAGUUGUAUUGCUCCAGCAGUGGUUGUUCCAGAGCCCACGCGUGAGAUGUGGCAUUCACAGGUAGGAACCACUCGCAGCUACUCAGCUGAGUGGAAGAAAGCCUGUCUGCCCACCCAGUCACUGCCAGGCUUUCCUUGCUGGUACCGCAGCACUUUCCUUGCUGGUACCGCAGCACAUUCCCUUCAGACAGCACAUGAGGAGAGCAAGGUACUCAACCAUCCGUGCAUUGCAUGAUAGACAGAGGGGAGAAAAAUUUCAGCACUGCAAUGUCACUACAACUAAGUGCCUCUGAGACUUUUUGCUUUGGGGCUGUCAUUUAGUAAUGUAGUUUUGCACCUACCUGAUAAGAGUUUAGCUAUUGCCUUCGGCAGCAGAAAGGUUUUUUGCUUCCUUCUGGUAAUGCACUGCCUGCAGAGAGCACGGGGUCUGAGUGGGUCCCCUUGGAUCAGCAUGGGAACACAGUGCUGGUUGGCUUGUGUUGCAGUAUACUUUGUACUGUAUUUCCCCUUAAGAGCACCCAGGAUUCUUUGUCACUGCAAUAUAUGUAUGAAUAAAGAAAUCUACUU